CCUGGGUUGACGUAGCUAUGUGCCAGUGAUAUGAUGUGAGUUUUUGCUACUUUGUGAUUUCCCGAUAUCAAGCAGUCACCUCAUAAGUCGCAACCAUUCUUCUUUUAGACAAACCUUUGCGAUUCCAAAUCUCUGUAUCGGUCUGCCGGAAAUUAUUCGAGUUGCUCGGAAUUUCUCUGCUAUGAUCAGAGUUGAGGGCCCGGUGAGCUUAUUUCAACUUCACACUCCCCCUUUCUAUGCUAACCCAUAUUUUAAACCUAAAUUCAACAGGUCCUAAAAGGGUUAAAGAUGAGAAAACAUGCUUUCCAUCAUUACAUCCAUGAGAGUAUCAUCUCAUGACCAAGUUCCAGCUUU